rnacentral:lncRNA from 1 species
CAGCUUGUCGCUGCUGCAGCUUUUCAUCUGUGAUCAAUGGUGAACUAUUACUCAGUUACAGCAGGACAGGGCUGUACUCACUCACUCAGUCAUUCACCCGACAUUUAGACUGCGUCUACUAACUGGCAUUUAUAAAUCAUGUAAAUGCUUAGAGCCUCUUGGAAAAUACACACAUAUAUAACUAGGUGACAGCAUGGCAAAACAGAAAACGCAGUGACAAGGGACCCCAAGGACAUUGCUUUUGAGACCUAGCUCUGCCAAGAUGCAGUUACUUUUCUGCAACAAGUAACUCAAUCUCUUUGAAUCUCAGCUUUCUUAUCUGUAAACUAGGAGUGAAGGUUGGGUGCCCAUGGCAGAUGAGACCGCGAAAAGGCAGAGUCAGAAAGCUUGAGGUGCGGUGAAGCUGGGAGUGCAUUCGGCCCUGGUUCUUCACGCCACCUGCCCGUUAGGGUCUCCUGAGGAGAUGCUUAAACUACCCCUCCUCUGAGACGGUGUUCCUCAGUCUGGGGUGGGACUCAGGCACUGGCUUUCCAAGGCCGUUCUUCUCAAACUCUAGCAAACGUCAGAACCACCUGAAGAGCUGGUGAAAACAGAGAUUGUUGGCCCCCCCCCCCUCAGAGAUCCUGACUCAGUGGGUCUGGGGCAGGACUAAGAAUUCGCCUUUCUAACAGGUUCCCAGGAGAUGCUGACGCUGGGGACCUACCCACCUGGGGAACCACUCAAAGUGUGUGUAGAAAGAAUGAGUAGAAAAUGCCAGAAGGAUAUUUGAGGGCAUAUGACUUUGUCUCUCCAUUAAAUGAGGAACACAAUAUGUCAUCACCCUGAAAUUCCACACCAUGUUCUUAACCACGUGCAGAGGAGUUAGCUUUUAAAAUGCACGUGUUAAGGAACUGACGGUGGAGAUUGCCCCCCAGGAGGGAAGCUGUUCUUGCAGUGGAAAAUGGAUACCUUCAAGUGCAAGUUCAACCUUUGUCCAGAAGAGAGAGCUGAGAGACCAUAAAUAGCAUCAUGGUUCCCUGAGGUUUUGCUUCUGGUGUUUCUCAACCCAGGAGCCAGAGGAGAGUCAGGGGUUGGGCAGAGCAAGGCUGUUGACGUUUGCACCGAUGGGUCCUGCUGAGCGAUUGUCUCCCCCAUCGCAGCUUUCCAGCCAUUGGACAGAAUGCCCAGUCAACCCCGCUCAGGCACGAAUUCUG